CGGACGGGUGGAGUAAUGCAUCGGGACCUACCCAGACGUGGGGGAUAACGUAGGGAAACUUACGCUAAUACCGCAUACGUCCUACGGGAGAAAGCGGGGGACCUUCGGGCCUCGCGCGUUUGGACGGACCGAUGUUCGAUUAGCUAGUUGGUAAGGUAAUGGCUUACCAAGGCGACGAUCGAUAGCUGGUCUGAGAGGAUGAUCAGCCACACUGGAACUGAGACACGGUCCAG
rnacentral:rRNA from 1 species